rnacentral:rRNA from 1 species
GCAGCAGUGGGGAAUAUUGGGCAAUGGAGGCAAGUCUGACCCAGCGACGCCGCGUGCGGGAUGAAGGCCUUCGGGUUGUAAACCGCUUUCAGCAGGGAAGAAGCGAAAGUGACGGUACCUGCAAAAGAAGCACCGGCUAACUAUGUGCCAGCAGCCGCGGUAAUACAUAGGGUGCAAGCGUUGUCCGGAAUUAUUGGGCGUAAAGAGCUCGUAGGUGGUUCGUCACGUCGGAUGUGAAAAUCUGGGGCUCAACCCCAGACCUGCAUUCGAUACGAGCGAGCUAGAGUUUGGUAGGGGAGACUGGAAUUCCUGGUGUAGCGGUGGAAUGCGCAGAUAUCAGGAGGAACACCAAUGGCGAAGGCAGGUCUCUGGGCCAAUACUGACACUGAGGAGCGAGAGCGUGGGGAGCGAACAGGAUUAGAUA